rnacentral:tRNA from 2 species
UGCGGGAUCGUAUAAUGGUAGUACGCAUGCCUCUGGAGCAUGUUAUCCUGGUUCGAGUCCAGGUCCCGCAG